rnacentral:rRNA from 1 species
AUUCCAGCUCCAAUAGCGUAUAUUAAAGUUGUUGCGGUUAAAAAGCUCGUAGUUGGAGUUCUGCCAGGUGACGCUCGUCCGCCCAAGUGGUGUGUACAGGGCGUGCAUCUGGCCCUUUCAAGGGGAACGUGUCUGCUCUUUAUUGAGUGGUGCGAGAUCCUUGACUUUUACUUUGAGGAAAUCAGAGUGUUCCAAGCAGGCUCUCGUCGUGUAUAGCUCAGCAUGGAAUAAUAGCAUUGGACUUCGUUUCUAAGCUGUUGGUUGCAAGAAGCGAGGUAAUGAUUAAUAGGGAUAGUUGGGGGCGUUUAUAUUCCGUUGUCAGAGGUGAGAUUCUUGGAUUUACGGAAGAUAAACUACUGCGAAAGCAUUCGCCAAGGAUGUUUUCAUUG